rnacentral:rRNA from 1 species
GACGAACGCUGGCGGCGUGCCUAAUACAUGCCAGUCGAACGGAGUGGGAACGGGUGAGUAACUCGUGGGUAACCUCCCAUCAGAGGGGAUAACACGUGGAAAGAGGUGCUAAACCGAUAUUGAAGGAUGGACCCGCAGUGCAUUAGCUAGUUGGUGAGGUAACGUAUCACCAAGGCCACGAUGCAUAGCCUACCUGGGAGGGUGAUCGGUCAAACUGGGACUGAGAGACGGCCCAUGCUCCAGCGGGAGGCAGCAGUAGGGAAUAUGCGGCAAUGGACGCAAGUCUGACCGAGCAACGUCGAGUGAGUGAAGAAGUUUUUCGGAUAGUAAAACUCUGUUGUUAGAUAAGCGGUAUCUAAACAGAAAGCCACUGCUAAAUACGUGCCAGCAGCCGCGGUAAUUC